UGGGGGAUAUUGCACAAUGGGCGAAAGCCUGAUGCAGCGACGCCGCGUGGGGGAUGAAGGCCUUCGGGUUGUAAACUUCUUUUGCUCUGAACAAGGCGCACCCUGGGGUGUGUUGAGUGUAGGGGUUGAUUAGCGCCGGCUAACUACGUGCCAGCAGCCGCGGUAAUACGUAGGGCGCGAGCGUUGUCCGGAAUUAUUGGGCGUAAAGGGCUUGUAGGUGGCUGGUUGCGUCUGUCGUGAAAGCUCAUGGCUUAACUGUGGGUUUGCGGUGGGUACGGGCUGGCUUGAGUGCAGUAGGGGAGGCUGGAAUUCCUGGUGUAGCGGUGGAAUGCGCAGAUAUCAGGAGGAAUACCGGUGGCGAAGGCGGGUCUCUGGGCUGUUACUGACACUGAGGAGCGAAAGCAUGGGGAGCGAACAGG
rnacentral:rRNA from 1 species